rnacentral:rRNA from 1 species
GAUGAACGCUGGCGGCGUGCCUAAUACAUGCAAGUCGAGCGAACAGACGAGGAGCUUGCUCCUCUGACGUUAGCGGCGGACGGGUGAGUAACACGUGGAUAACCUACCUAUAAGACUGGGAUAACUUCGGGAAACCGGAGCUAAUACCGGAUAAUAUAUUGAACCGCAUGGUUCAAUAGUGAAAGACGGUUUUGCUUCACCUUAUAGAUGGACCGCCGCGGCAUUAGCUAGUUGGUAAGGUAACGGCUUACCAAGGCAACGAUGCGUAGCCGACCUGAGAGGGUGAUCGGCCACACUGGAACUGAGACACGGUCCAGACUCCUACGGGAGGCAGCAGUAGGGAAUCUUCCGCAAUGGGCGAAAGCCUGACGGAGCAACGCCGCGUGAGUGAUGAAGGUCUUCGGAUCGUAAAACUCUGUUAUUAGGGAAGAACAAAUGUGUAAGUAACUAUGCACGUCUUGACGGUACCUAAUCAGAAAGCCACGGCUAACUACGUG